UACGAAGGGGGCUAGCGUUGCUCGGAAUCACUGGGCGUAAAGCGCACGUAGGCGGAUUGUUAAGUCAGGGGUGAAAUCCUGGAGCUCAACUCCAGAACUGCCUUUGAUACUGGCGAUCUCGAGUCCGGGAGAGGUGAGUGGAACUGCGAGUGUAGAGGUGAAAUUCGUAGAUAUUCGCAAGAACACCAGUGGCGAAGGCGGCUCACUGGCCCGGUACUGACGCUGAUGAGCGAAAGCGUGGGGAGCAAACAGG
rnacentral:rRNA from 1 species